CUACGGAGGAUGCAAGCGUUAUCCGGAUUUAUUGGGUUUAAAGGGUGCGUAGGCGGAUGAUUAAGCGUGAGGUGAAAUGCCACUGCUCAACAGUGGAACUGCCUCGCGAACUGGUUGUCUUGAAUGCUCCUGCCGUGGGAGGAAUGUGUGGUGUAGCGGUGAAAUGCAUAGAGAUCACACAGAACACCGAUUGCGAAGGCAUCUCACGAAGGGGUGAUUGACGCUGAGGCACGAAAGCGUGGGGAUCAAACAGGAUUAGAUACCCUGGCAGUCCACGCAGUAAACGAUGAUAACUAACCGCUGGGUCGUAGUGAUUCAGUGGCCAAGCGAAAGCGAUAAGUUAUCCACCUGGGGAGUACGACCGCAAGGUUGAAACUCAAAUGAAUUGGCGGGG
rnacentral:rRNA from 1 species